UCGGGAAUUUUGCGCAAUGGGCGAAAGCCUGACGCAGCAACGCCGCGUGAGGGAUGAAGGCCUUCGGGUUGUAAACCUCUUUUAUCAGGGACGAUAAUGACGGUACCUGAUGAAUAAGCCACGGCUAACUACGUGCCAGCAGCCGCGGUAAUACGUAGGUGGCAAGCGUUGUCCGGAUUUACUGGGCGUAAAGAGCGCGCAGGCGGUCGUUCAAGUCGCGUGUGAAAGCCCCCGGCUCAACUGGGGAGGGUCACGCGAUACUGAUCGACUCGAAGGCAGGAGAGGGUAGUGGAAUUCCCGGUGUAGUGGUGAAAUGCGUAGAUAUCGGGAGGAACACCAGUGGCGAAGGCGACUACCUGGCCUGUUCUUGACGCUGAGGCGCGAAAGCUAGGGGAGCAAACGGG
rnacentral:rRNA from 2 species